rnacentral:rRNA from 1 species
AACGAACGCUGGCGGCAGGCUUAACACAUGCAAGUCGAGCGCUCACUUUUGUGGGAGCGGCAGACGGGUGAGUAACGCGUGGGAACAUACCUAGUAGUACGGAAUAACAGUUGGAAACGACUGCUAAUACCGUAUACGCCCUUAGGGGGAAAGAUUUAUCGCUAUUAGAUUGGCCCGCGUUGGAUUAGUUUGUUGGUGGGGUAAUGGCCUACCAAGACUACGAUCUAUAGCUGGUCUGAGAGGAUGAUCAGCCACACUGGGACUGAGACACGGCCCAG